GGGCUUAUCUCUUUUAGUACCUAAUUUACUUAGAAAAUAAAAUAAAAAGGAGUAGAAAGCUUACUUGCGGCGACAAACUGCUGAGGACGAAACACUUCUCCAGAUUGUAUUGAUUUGGAGCACAAUGAAAGGGGAAGACUCAAGUCCUGGAGUAAUUGUUUGACUAUUUGAGGCAAGUUGAUUUCUAAAUUCUUGUUAAGUGUAUGUAAUUCAUGUAUUUCCUUAUAAUGUGUUUGGGGGUAAUGAGACUUGGUGAUGAGUUGACUUGUCACCACAUUGAUUAAUUCUAAUGAUGAAAAAGGGGUAAACAAAGGCAAUGUAAUAAUUGUUUGUGUGUGAUGUGUUGAGAAUUGAUAAUAGUUUGAAAGAUUUAUUAUUUAA